rnacentral:lncRNA from 1 species
AUUCAAUAAUGAAUCAGGCGUAAUCGCUGAAGGAAUAGAAGGUCCUUUGGAAAAGUCUGAUAGGACAUAUGCAACUAUCAUACAGAGUGAUAGGUGGUAAAAUAAAAUUAAUGACAGGGUGUUGUGGGCUCUUAUUUCAGCAGGGGGCAGAAGUGAGCACAGAGAGAUCCUUGAGGAGAUGACAUCCUAGCUGAGCAGUUGUUCUGAAGAUGAGAGUAAGCAAUGCUGUAGGAAAAGGCUGUUAGGAAGAAAGGGAGGCAUCAGAAAGCCUGGGACAAUGGGACAGCAGGUGCUCUGGAAACUCUAAGCAGUUUGGAAUGGCUGUAGCACAUGCAAGAGGUCUCUGCGGAAGAUGCUCUUUGUGGAGUGAAUCGUUAACUGGGGAGGAGGCCACCUAGAUUCAGUUAUAGAACAUCGUGGAUUAGAUUGUCAUACAUCAAGGAGCCGAGGACCAUUCCCUGGGUAGCGAAGGAGCACAGUGGAAAGGCCAUAUAAAGUCACAGUGAGAAGAUGGUUAUCUGCAAGCCAGGGAGAGAGCUCUCUACUGAUACCAACCCUGCUGGCAGCUUGAUCUUGGACUUCCAGCCUCUAGAACUGUGAGAAAAUAAAUUUUAGUUGUGUAAGCC